GGGGUGCUCGAGUGGCGAACGGGUGAGUAACACGUGAGUAACCUGCCCUUGACUUUGGGAUAACUUCAGGAAACUGGGGCUAAUACCGGAUAGGAGCUCCUGCUGCAUGGUGGGGGUUGGAAAGUUUCGGCGGUUGGGGAUGGACUCGCGGCUUAUCAGCUUGUUGGUGGGGUAGUGGCUUACCAAGGCUUUACGGGUAGCCGGCCUGAGAGGGUGACCGGCCACAUUGGGACUGAGAUACGGCCCAGACUCCUACGGGAGGCAGCAGCC
rnacentral:rRNA from 1 species